UACGGGGGGGGCAAGCGUUGUUCGGAAUUACUGGGCGUAAAGGGCUCGUAGGCGGCCAACUAAGUCAGACGUGAAAUCCCUCGGCUUAACCGGGGAACUGCGUCUGAUACUGGACGGCUUGAGUAUGGGAGAGGGAUGUAGAAUUCCAGGUGUAGCGGUGAAAUGCGUAGAUAUCUGGAGGAAUACCGGUGGCGAAGGCGGCAUCCUGGACCAUUACUGACGCUGAGGCGCGAAAGCUAGGGGAGCAAACGGG
rnacentral:rRNA from 1 species